UGAAUUCACUACUGUAAGUUGCUCUGGAUAAGAGUGUCUGCUAAAUGACUAAAA
rfam:Salmo salar isolate Sally breed double haploid chromosome ssa04, whole genome shotgun sequence.